UGUGUAGGCGGUUCUUUAAGUUUGGUGUGAAAUCUCCCGGCUCAACUGGGAGGGAGCGCCGAAUACUGAGGGACUAGAGUACGGGAGAGGAAAGUGGAAUUCCUGGUGUAGCGGUGAAAUGCGUAGAUAUCAGGAGGAACACCGGUGGUGUAGACGGCUUUCUGGACCGUAACUGACGCUGAGACACGAAAGCGUGGGUAGCAAACAGGAUUAGAUACCCUGGUAGUCCACGCCCUAAACGACGCAUAUUUGGUGUGGGCAGUUCAUUCUGUCCGUGCCGGAGCUAACGCGUUAAAUAUGCCGCCUGGGGAGUACAGUCGCAAGGCUGAA
rnacentral:rRNA from 1 species